GGUGGGAGCGGGCUUGCUCGCGAUGGGAUCGCCGCGGUGUAUCAGGUACACCACAGCGAUCUCAUCGCGAGCAAGCCCGCUCCCACA
rnacentral:misc_RNA from 1 species